GCACUCUUAGCUCAGUUGGUAGAGCAACUGACUCUUAAUCAGUGGGUCCAGGGUUCGAUUCCCUGAGGGUGUA
rnacentral:tRNA from 3 species